UAUUCUCUUUUUAUCUUAUUGUUUUCAUCUCUACUUAUACUCAGUUAUAUAGUACAACUAUAAGCUCACCUUAAGUAUACCUCUUCACAACACAUAUCUUAAGUAUUCAUUCUACUCUGUAAGCUCUACUAGAUAUUCUUAUUGUUUAUUUUAGACUGCUGCUGUAGCUAUUGCUAGUCAUUCUAAAUAUUUCUCUUGAUAUUAUAUCUUAAUCUGUGAUAGUGGCACUAUCUUCUGACCUAGUGAACAAGCUCAGCAACACUAUAUAACCCCCAACCUUAGCUUAUAACCAGUGAGAAGCUUGCUAGGUUAGAGACUGAUAUAAGCAGCUAGUUUCAGCACCGCUGCUUACAAAGCUAAUAUAAGUGAUGUUUUAACUAGAGUUAAUCUAAAUCUUGAGAUAUCUGAGGUAUUGGAAAUGGUAAAGUAUUAAUUUAGAGCUUAAAUUAUAAGUGUGAGUCAAAACUUCUUAUAGCAACCUCCAUAUAUAAACUUUACGCUGGGUAGGAAUUGAUAUGGUAAGCUUGCUACACAUGUGUUUAAAGGCUUGGUAUCUGAUUUGGCAUUAAAACCGCACAGCCUCCAUUCAUUUGAGCCCGGUAUGGAGAUUUUCAUUUAUGUUUUUAUCAUGUGUAAGGCGUCAAAAAGGACUUAUUUUUUUCACUUUCUAACCAGCUUAUUAAGAACUCUAUUAAUUGCAGUGAAUAAAUGUUGAAUAAUUAGUUAGUUAGCUACAUGAGCAAGUCAUUUACAAAUUCUUAGUAAUUGAAUAAGUAAACACCAAAGUGACAGUUAAGUAACUAACUAUUGAUCAAAUGACCAAAAUGUUAAAGAGAAAUUUGUCGCAAUGCUAGAUGUGUAAGUAAAUCACUUUUAAAAAGAAAUAUUUUUAGCUGUUUAUUCAUUUAAACUUCACUGUUAUGUUAAGGGGUUGAUUGAGUUCUUUUAGAUGAUAAGUUUAAUGGGGAAAUAUGUGU
rnacentral:sRNA from 1 species